ACACGACCGUACCGCAAACCGACACUGGUGCGCGAGAUGAGUAUUCUAAGGCGCUUGAGAGAACUCAGGAGAAGGAACUCGGCAAAUUGACACCGUAACUUCGGAAGAAGGUGUGCCUUUAGUAGGUGAACCAUUUACUUGGGGAGCCCAAUGAGGUUGCAAAAAAUCGGUGGCUGCGACUGUUUAUUAAAAACACAGCACUCUGCAAACACGAAAGUGGACGUAUAGGGUGUGACGCCUGCCCGGUGCUGGAAGAUUGAAUGAUGGGGUGCAAGCUCUUGAUUGAAGUCCCAGUAAACGGCGGCCGUAACUAUAACGGUCCUAAGGUAGCGAAAUUCCUUGUCGGGUAAGUUCCGACCUGCACGAAUGGCGUAACGAUGGCCACACUGUCUCCUCCUGAGACUCAGCGAAGUUGAAAUGUUUGUGAUGAUGCAAUCUCCCCGCGGAAAGACGGAAAGACCCCAUGAACCUUUACUGUAGCUUUGUAUUGGACUUUGAACAGAUCUGUGUAGGAUAGGUGGGAGGCUUUGAAGUAGGGUCGCUAGAUCUUAUGGAGCCAACGUUGAAAUACCACCCUGGUGUGUUUGAGGUUCUAACCUAGGUCCAUUAUCUGGAUCGGGGACAGUGCAUGGUAGGCAGUUUGACUGGGGCGGUCUCCUCCCAAAGCGUAACGGAGGAGUUCGAAGGUACGCUAGUUACGGUCGGACAUCGUGACGAUAGUGCAAUGGCAUAAGCGUGCUUAACUGCGAGACUGACAAGUCGAGCAGAUGCGAAAGCAGGACAUAGUGAUCCGGUGGUUCUGUAUGGAAGGGCCAUCGCUCAACGGAUAAAAGGUACUCUGGGGAUAACAGGCUGAUACCGCCCAAGAGUUCAUAUCGACGGCGGUGUUUGGCACCUCGAUGUCGGCUCAUCUCAUCCUGGGGCUGUAGCCGGUCCCAAGGGUAUGGCUGUUCGCCAUUUAAAGAGGUACGUGAGCUGGGUUUAAAACGUCGUGAGACAGUUUGGUCCCUAUCUUCCGUGGGCGCUGCAGAUUUGAGGAAGCCUGCUCCUAGUACGAGAGGACCGGAGUGGACACACCUCUGGUGUAUCGGUUGUCACGCCAGUGGCAUUGCCGAGUAGCUAAGUGUGGAAGAGAUAACCGCUGAAAGCAUCUAAGCGGGAAACUCGUUUCAAGAUGAGAUCUGCCGGGGCCUUGAGCCCCCUAAAGAGUCGUUCAAGACCAGGACGUUGAUAGGUCAGGUGUGGAAGCGCAGUAAUGCGUUAAGCUAAC
rnacentral:rRNA from 1 species